UGGUAUAAUUAUUCACCUUAAUUAGAGAAAGGACAUUCCAAACUGCCAGUCAUUUUGAAAAAUUAAUGAACUAUAAUUAUCUACCUGCAAGAUAAAAGGUGAAAAACAUAAGAAUUAAAAGAAAUCUUGUAUUAGGCCCCUGCAUAAAUUCAUUAGAGCUUACGAUUAUUGCAGUUCCUCCACCAAAUAAGUUGAAGAUUUGAUGUCAUGGGCCUGACAUGAAACAUAUUACUAUUAAAAAAAGUCAUUAGAUAUCAAUGAUUCUACAAACAGAUCAAAAUAUAGCAAAAACAAACAGAUCAAAACAUACGAAAUACAAAAUCUUAACAUAUGCCAAACAAAAAGACAUCUUUUUAUUUUUGUAAAACAUACAUUUGUAAGAAAUUAUGCUUGAAGAGCACAUGUAGAACAAAUGCAUCUCA
rnacentral:lncRNA from 1 species